CGCCGCCCAUUGGCGGGGGGACCCUGGCCGUCCCGCCCCCGUCUCCUAGCAACGCCCGGGACGCUCCGGCAGUGCCAGGUGCGGCAGCGCCAGGUGCGGCAGCGCGGCCGUCGCCAUGAGCGGCCCGCCGGGACUUCUGGCAGCCUACAAUAGCCUUACAGACAAGCACCUGACUGGAUAUUUCAGCAAUGCCCGGAUAAGACGACACCUUCAGAGAUCAGGACUGAUCUCAAGGACUGGAAGACUAAUACCUGAGAAAGAAUACCGUCUAAAUGCUUUGAGGAGGGAUCACCAAAGAUAUGUACAGGAGUGCCUGGCUCGGGCCAUAUUCCAUAAGGUCCUUGACAUGGAGUGUCAUCAUCAGCUGGAAAUAAAAAGGAAACUUGAAAAUGCUGCGAGGAAGGAGAGGGUACAGAGAAUGAAGGCGGAGCAAUCCAGAAGAGGGGUGGAAGGUUUUAGCCCUAUGUACUCCCCACAUCCACCACUUGGUCCAAGAAAUCAUUCUGUGCUCCAUCCUCUAGUAGCUGGAGAAGCAGCCAGUCACUCGCAACUGAGGGCACCGGGACCUGCAGUUAGUUGCUGUGGUGGACGCCCACCUCCCCUGCACCGAGCCAAGCAGCCAGCCUAUUCUAAGGUGGUUUCCUGGCGCCCCAAUACGGCUCCAGCGAACAUGCAGCGCCCGGCUCGCCUGCAGCCCCUGCGCUGUGCAGCACCAAAGCCAGCCGGCUCCAAGCAGAAGGGCCACUCACUCGAACACCAUCAGCUGUUUGCCACUGGGGGGGAGAGGAGUGGGUUAAGGCUUAUGAAUUCGGUGGAAUACAUGACUGGUGUUUCUCCAUAUCAACUCCCUGUCAUUAACAAUUACAUGAUCCCAGUGCCACCUCCCCCCCUGCAAAAAGGAGACAAGAGUGGAAAUGUGGGGAGAACUGGGGUGCUUAGAGCGAGACAGUUGCGUCCCAUCACAGCACCAAACUUGGAGCAACUGCUAACAAAGAAUUCUGGAGGAUUCCCUAAGUCCUCAUUACGCAGCAACGCAUUAGUUACCAUGGGUUUUUUAGGAAAAAGUGUGCGUUUGUCUUACGAUGAUACUGAUUACAAAGAUGAAAUCAAAGUCUACCAGCAGCAUUGUGGAGGAGAAAACCUUUGUGUCUACAAAGGCAAGCUCUUGGAAGGAGAGACCUUUCAGUUUGUCUCCAGGAGACAUCACGGUUUCCCAUUCAGCCUCACCUUCUUUCUCAAUGGGUUGCAAGUGGACAGGCUGAGCUGCUGCUGUGAGUACAAACACCAGAAGCGCUCCAGGAUGCGAGGCAGACGUGGCUACUUCAGGUUUCUCAGUGUGGAGGGAGCGUCUCCUUGCUAUAGGUGCAUUAUUGCAACAGGUCUAGACAAAAAACCAUCCCCUCCCAAGAGAGAGGUGCAGGACCAUGGGGAAGUGCACAUGGAUUCCUGGGGAGAUGGAGCCUGCAGUGAGCCAAGUAAAACCAGUGCUGAGCCAAGUAAAACCAGUGCUGAGCAGAAUCCAGGCAAAGUUUCAGUGUUAGUCAUCUUACCAGGUCAUGAAGCAAGUGCAGAAACUAUUGAGGAUGAAAUGGAGACUGGACAGGAGUACAGAAAAGAAGAAAAGAAAAAACUACCUGAUUGUGAGAGUGAAGAUAGUCAGGAAGACACCGGUAAAAAUGAGUAUAAUGAAGAUUUUGAAGCAGAUGAAGAAGUUAAUGAAGAGGGACAGACUAGUGAUCAAAUGAAUAGAAUGUCGAAGUCACCCUCAGAUGAUAAAAAGCGUAAUUUAGACUAUGAAAAGGAGAGUACAAACUCAUCACAGAAGGCACGACAGGCCUAUGACAGUGAGAGAGAUGAAAGUGAUGGAUAUUCUGACAGUGACUCAGAGGAUGACAAACCAGGUGAAUUAAACAAAGGUAAUACAGCUGUUUGUGAAAAGGUUGCAGCUGCAAGAAAGAUCCAGUCUUUUUAUAGGAAGUAUAAAAUCCAACAGAAAUUCAAACCAGGUAGGAGGCUUGCACACUCCCUCUCAUCCAUCAGUACUCAAUAUAGCAGUGACAAUGACUCUCAUGCUGAAACGAUGAAAGACGAUGUUAAGGACACAGAGGAGUAUGACAUCAAAAGGGCAUCUGAUAACGUAGCACAUGUACAACAUGGAAAUGAGAGUGGGGAGAAUAAACUGCUCAGAGUGGAAGAAAAUCAGGAAACUUUUGCACUGGAAAAGGAAGGAAUAGAUGAAGAAGAAAAGGAAAACCCAGAAGACCUAACAGCAAGAGAAGAUACUGUAGUUUUUCAUGACAAUAUAAUGGCAAUACAGUGUCAGAGUCCUGAAGUGAACGGGGAACUCAGACUGGCUGGGUCAAUGGAAAGUCACACAGAGGAAGAUGGGGCGAAGAAUGGCAAUACCUGGAGGGAUGAUGGGGAGCAAAGUCUCAUAGUGCCUUCGGAAAGCAGCGUGCUGGAAGCGGAGGACAGCAGAGAGGAGUCUCCUGGGGGUGCCGGAGUGGUUGUUUUUGAGGAUCGCAAACCAGUCCAGGAGGAAACAGCAAAAGCAAUUGGAAAUGAUCAUCAUGUGAAUUCUGACCCUGAACCCUGUGAUUCUGGUGCAGAUGAGGAAGAAAGGAAUGUGACAAGUACAGAGCAUGAUGCCAGUGAAGCACCAGAUGGAGCUUUCUUGGCAGAAGGAACAAGAACACUUGACGAGCAGAAGGAAGCAGAACAAGUGGUACACGGAGGGCAGGUGGCAGGGGACAGACAAGCACUUGAGAAGGACGAUGUUGUUGUUGAGGGAGGAGAUGCUGGCACUGAAGAGGCAGGAGAACUGGCCCAGGUGGGAGAUGUGCUGCCCAUGGGAGACACAACGGCUGCGCUGCAGGCAGAGGGUCAGCGUGUGGUGGAGGAACCUGCACCCCAGGAGAGCCCCGUGGCAGAAGAUCCCCAGGGACAGGGCACAGGGAAAGGAAUGGACUCUGGCACAGAGGCAGCAGGCGGGGAGCAGGACGUUCUGAUGGAGGGGACAGAGAGCAAGGUGGCACUGCAGGAGCAGGCGCCUGUGGGACAGGAGCUGGCAGCAGCAGGCAGGGAGACGAACAGAGCAGCAUCCGAGGGCGAGGAGGAGGAUGGGGAGGUCUCUGGAGGAGAGGAGGCUGCAGAGGAGGAUGAGGCAGAAGCAGGAGCCGAGGCGGAGGAAGCUGUGGGACUGACAGGGUCUGCUGUGAAGGAGGAGCUGGGUGAGAUGGUGUCCAAGGAAGAGGAGGCCAUGGAGGAAGGAGGUUUUGCAGAGAAGGGCAUUGUGGUGAGUCCUGUGUCUGAGGGAGAGGAGGUGGUGGAGGAUGCUGACAUGGUGGAGGAUGCCGACAUGGUAGAGGAAAGCAUUGCUGGGGUAGAUGGCCCUAACGAGGAAGAGGCUGUAGAAGAAGCUGUUUCAGAAGGGGAAGAGGCUGUAGAAGAAGCUGUUUUGGAAGGGGACGAGGCUGUAGAAGAAGCUGUUUCAGAAGGAGAGGAGGAUGUGGGGAAGCCUGAGGGUCUCCUGGAAACAUUAGAGGAUACAAACAUUUGCAGAGGAGAAGCAAUGCCUGGAGAAGACUUCAUAAAGCCACAUGAGUUUUCCCAGGUGGAAGCAGCAGGGGAAGAGCAGUCGGAGAUGAGAGAAGCUGCCGCAGGGGCACCUGAGACCAGCCAGGAGUCAGGGGCAGACGAGAGCUCUGUCCUGAGAGCGGGGGAUGCAGUGGGGGCGGCUGUGCAGCCUGACAAGCAUCCCCUCUUGCAAAUAGCACCUGGGUUAGAGGCACCAGUGGAUGCUGGGGAGGAUCCCAGAAGUGAAGGGUCCUCUCAGCUGGAGGAUACCACCACAGGAGAGGAGGAGGAGGGCUCAGCACAAGCACUGUUGAGUGGAAAGCCGACUCCAAGCAGCACAGCAGAGGGUGCAGUGGAAAAUAAACCUGAUGGAGGGACCAUGGGAGACUCUGCAGAGACAGCCAGAGCAGAGGUGGGAGCUGCCGGGGAGGUACCAGGGCAAGCAGCAGGGCCAGGGGAGCUGGCAGGGGAGGAGGUGGCAGUGGCUGGGGACAGCAGGGUGGGUGACGAGGUGGUGGCACAGGAGGGAGUGACAGCGGCAGCAUGCGGGGGACAGAGUGGGACAGGGGUGUCAGCAGCAGAGGGGGUGGCAGCUGAGGGCUGGGGGGCAGCUGGAGACUUGGUUAGAGACAGGGUAGGGGUAAGCAAUGGAGCCGCGGCUGUCGAGCAAGGGGUGAACCAGGAGGGAAGGGAGCUGGCACCAGCGGGGGCCAAGGGUCAGGCUGAGAUAGACACAGCACAUGUCAUGUCCCCACAGCAUGGAGAGAUGUUCCCUGGGGAGCAGCUGAUGGCAGAAACCUCCCUGAGCAGCCCAGCACAAGGGGCCGGGGGAGCGGAACUGGGGGUCACAGGGUCCACAGGAGGUGAAGGGCCAUGCCUGGGCACCCGCCUGCAGCCGGCAGCUCCCGGGACAGGGGCGGACAAGGACAGUGCACAGGAUAGGACAGAGCCAGCAGGGAUGAAAGCAGAGGGGGAGCAGCCAGGCCUCCAUGGAAACAUGCAGGAGAGGGCAGCAGCGGGUGUGUGGGACACAAAUGGGGACAGUGAGCAGAGCCAGGAUGGGCCUGUCGCAGGGAGCCCGGACACCCCAGCAGCUGCAGACCGGAGGAACCGUGGUCCUGGUGAGGAUGUUGUAAACCCAGAGGCAGCUGUCGAGCCUUCAGUACAACCCCAGGACGAGGAAGACACUCUCCUCUAAACUUUUUCUGCAGCUCCUUCAGUGUUGUAUCCUGCAGCAUUUACAUGAAUCUCUGUCGAUUUGUGCCGGUUGGGAUGUCACUUGUUUUUUUACUCCACAAGUACCAUCUGUCACUUUUUACUAGAGCAGCUUCUCAAUGUGCAGCAGACAAUCGAAAUAAACCUGUAUCUGCCAGCCCCGGAAACAGCACUCCUUCAUAAUUAUGAAGACAAUCAUCACAAGGAUUGUUCCACAGCGGUUGUGUUUUUCCCAAAACACAGAGAAAUAUUGGACUGGCUGAGCCUCCCCUCCUGGGUUCUGGGGGCUGCCAUGUUUGCAGGAUACAGAUGAGCUUUGAUCCAUGGUGAGGAACCAGCCCUUGUCCCCUGGCCGUGCACCCCGCGAUGCUCUGGGGGUUCCCCCUGCACCCCGUUCCCCUCACUUGGUCUCACCCUGGUGGAGCCACUGGCAGCUCCUCGGGAUGACACAGACACAGGGUGACAUGAGCCAGGUUUGUGCUGGGAUGGUGUGUUAUUGUUCAUGUGUCUGGGACCUUUCAGGCUACUGAUUUGUAAAGUGGUCAGAGAGCUGGGACCAAAUGUGGAAUUGAGCUGAAUUUGACAGUUUUGGCCCCAGAGAACUGCCCUGAUGCUGUUGGUGUGGCUGCUAAUGAUGAACCAUUUGUGUGCUUUUAAAACAGGAGUAAAUCUCUAAUCUGAACAGGUGGGAUUUCGUUAAGAAGCAAAACCACUGAAAUGGAUGAUUGCAUAGUUUUGGAAAUGCUACCCAUGGUAAUUUCUUCUGUCCAUUUCCAGUUAGUAAUUAACUUCAAAGUGAAAAAAUGCAGGUGACACCUUAGGGAAAAACAAGAUGUGCAGGAAAAAAAAACUAAAAAGAGACUAAUUAUCAAACUAAACAUAUGUGAGAAAAGCAAACUAAGCAUUGCCACAGGAAAACCUCAUUUUUGGCUCAUUAGAAAGGCAUUUUAAAACUCUGUUAGCUGUCAGGCAUUCUCAGUAGCUUGUCACUGGAUGCUGAUGGUUGUGUCUCAAAUGUCUCGUUAUGGUGCACGCAGCUCAAAUCGUCCCCAGUGACAUUGCAGAGGCUGAACAGCUGCAUUUCAGCAGCAGAGCCAAGAAAUGUUUUGUUGGACACCAGUUUAUUUUAAUCUAGAUCACCUGUUACUGAUGUAUUAAACAAUUAAAACCAUUGCUACAGCUACCAGGCAUGGGCUGGUCUGAAAAGCAGGCUAAGUGUCUUUGGAGCUUCUCAUUCUUUAUAAAUAUUUCAAUGUGCUGGGAUCCUUGCGCUUCUCUGGGAACAAAAUAAUUUCAUUCCCACAAAUAACUUCAGAGCAUGUUCUAUGCAGUAAUUUACAUUUUUCAGACUUUUCAUAUGUAUUAAUAACCGAUCACUCCUAUGAAACAUGCUUUCUCCUAAGCCUGAUGUUUCUCCUGUAGAGUCCAAUUAACUAAGACAUUGUUUGCUUCAAGGAGCCACUAAUUUUAAUUACUAGUGAAAUUAUUUGCAAGCAGCUGGCCUUGUAAAGAGCUCUCUAAAUUACAGUUUUGCCUUCAGAAGCUUUCUGAUUUUUGUUGUUGGUUCUGCAUGUCCACCUCUGAGCAUUUCCCCGGAGCUACUGGGAGCUCGUACCAGCAGCUCAGGUACUGCUGAGCGCACUGAGGUGUUAACGCCAAUGAACUCUGCUCCUUAUAGCUUCUGGUUUUCAGGAACCAAAAACGACAACUGUUUGGGUUAAAAACAUCUUCCUUGAUCAGCUUCUGGCUGUUGGUGAACUGGAGAGAAAGUGGUGGUACCAUCUGCAGUACUUGAUGUGCAGCUUUAUUUCCCUUUCUUCCUCAAUGAUUUUUUUCAGAAAGUGAAACAAAACAAAUGAGAAAACACCUGUAAACCUCGCUAAGUGAAAUAUUCCCCAUUUUUAUUGCUUCAGGACUGUGGAAUUAAUGACAUGCAUGGACAAUGUAAGGCAGCAGAACCUACAGUUCAGGUGUGAUGCCUCAUCACAGACCUUGGUCAGCGGUUGUAGGAAACCAACAUCCUGAAUAACAUCCACAGAUCAACACACGGCAGUUGUGAACACCAAUUUCUACUGGGCCAAUACGACAGUUGUGUCCUUGAGUCUGCUUAAGGAAGAAUAUUAAAGCAGGAUCACUUGCAGCUACAUUUUCCUAAUUUGAAAAAAUACCUCAGAAACUAACAGCAUAAUUAACUCUGUAAUUGCCUCUAGAAGAAGAGUUCAAGUUAUCCUGCCCUACUUUUUUUUCUUUAACUGUUAUUUUUUUAAAAUUUCCAGUGAUCAGAGCUGCUGUUGAAAAGCCCAGUUGUGGCACCAGCUGGAACUCU